rnacentral:rRNA from 1 species
CCUACGGGUGGCAGCAGUCGAGAAUCAUUCACAAUGGGGGAAACCCUGAUGGUGCGACGCCGCGUGGGGGAAUGAAGGUCUUCGGAUUGUAAACCCCUGUCAUGUGGGAGCAAAUUAAAAAGAUAGUACCACAAGAGGAAGAGACGGCUAACUCUGUGCCAGCAGCCGCGGUAAUACAGAGGUCUCAAGCGUUGUUCGGAAUCACUGGGCGUAAAGCGUGCGUAGGCUGUUUCGUAAGUCGUGUGUGAAAGGCGCGGGCUCAACCCGCGGACGGCACAUGAUACUGCGAGACUAGAGUAAUGGAGGGGGAAGCGGAAUUCUCGGUGUAGCAGUGAAAUGCGUAGAUAUCGAGAGGAACACUAGUGGCGAAGGCGGGUUACUGGACAUUAACUGACGCUGAGGCACGAAGGCCAGGGGAGCGAAAGGGAUUAGAUACCCUGGUAGUC